rnacentral:rRNA from 1 species
UACGUAGGGGGCUAGCGUUGUCCGGAAUCAUUGGGCGUAAAGCGCGCGUAGGCGGCCCGGUAAGUCCGCUGUAAAAGUCCAGGGCUCAACCCUGGAACGCCGGUGGAUACUGUCGGGCUAGAGUCCGGAAGAGGCGAGUGGAAUUCCUGGUGUAGCGGUGGAAUGCGCAGAUAUCAGGAGGAACACCGAUGGCGAAGGCAGCUCGCUGGGACGGUACUGACGCUGAGGCGCGAAAGCUAGGGGAGCAAACGGG